CCUCCGAUCAUCAUGUGGGCGUUAUGAGUACUUGAGCUUCUUCCACUCUUUUAGGAGCAAAAAAUUCAUGUAUCUAUCAUUGGAUUAUUCCGACCUGCUCGAUAUAUAAUCAGUGGCAUUUCUGCAUGCAUGCGUGUAAGUGUUCUGAUCACAGCUCAUCUCUCAAUUGAAGACUAUAAUUUGCUUCGCAAGCUGAAGUACGUACGACAACUCGUGAUCAAGUGAUUCAUAUUUUUUUUAAUGGCACCAAAGUGAAUUAGAGAAAUGGCGCCAUUCUUAGUCCCGGCUUCUUACAGUGAAAGUCGUGAAGAGCGGGGCAAGUACUGGCAUAGUUUGGACUUGGAGCGGCCGGGAGGACAACGAGAUGAUAGUCUGCCUGCAGGAGAGAUCAGAGAAAUGGCACCCAAGCUAGUCGUAGCCGCAACUCACAGAGAAAGUCGUGAAGAGCAUAUUGAGCGGCGGGCACUACAAGAAAUUAGCCCUUUUGCAGCGUUUUUAAUUAUGCUGCAAUUAAAAUCGCUGCAAUAGAUAUCCUUUUGCAGCGAAAUAUUACUCCUUGCAAGAUUUUUACAUCGAUCCACGGUUUAAUGAAGCGGGGCGCUUCACUUAGGUUUUUACAGCGAAAUUUGAGUCUAUAGCGACGACAAAAUGCGUUGCAAAAAAAUACUUCUUGUAGUGGCAUAAUAUCGUUGCUACUGGCUACGGGCGCGAAAUCGGAGGAGAAUUUCUUUUUCCCCCCCCAAACCUUUGUUACCGAGUUCAGAGUUCUCCACUUCGCGCCUCUUGCCCAUUUCUCCUACCUUCAGUACCCAGGAGACCAACUUCAUAUCUUCGGCUGGAAAUCUACCACCAUUGUCGCUUAGGUUCCGAACCCUACAAUCUCCACCACCUCAUUUCCCUUUCGCGGAAGCCACGGUCCUCGUUUCCUCCCCAUCCCGCUGUGUGGGUUUGUGAUUUGAAGUCGGUGUGAUUUUAUUCUGGGGUUCUCUUUGCAUCGGACGUUGCCAUUGUCAAACCUAACAAUUGUUGCAAUCCUUCCGUCACCACAGGUAUUGAUUCUACCAUUCAUAUUCCUCUCUCUGCCCCUUCAUCCGCAGUCGCCCAUUUGCAUAAAUGGGAGCUUAUUAGCUAAUGCAGAGGUUAUGGUAGAUGUUGCAGUCUAUUGACGCCAUUAUUUUCGCUGAAAAUUUUUUUAUUUCAUUUCAUUUAUAUCUGCAUUUUUUGAUCGCUGAAGAUGUUGGUUGUAUGAAAUUAGGCCUAAAUUUACUAGGUUAUAGUUUCAAAUUGCACCGUAACCGCUGAUUGACAUUCCCUUUUGCUUGAAAUCCCUAAUUAUCCAGAUUUUAGGUUAGGAUUUGAAUAGCAUCGAAAAAUUGGAAGUGAGAGAGGGCUAAUUUCUUGUAGUGAGAGAGGAGAGACUAAUUGUGUGGUAGAGGAGAUAGAAUUAACGGGGGAUGACAAAACUUUGUAAUACAUAUGGUUUUAAUAUUCAGGCUAGAAAAAUGUUGGUUAAGCACAUGCUACCUACAAGAAAUUAAGCACUAUGUUGUCAUCGUCAACAUAUUUAUAGGAUUGGAAAGAUAUAUUUGGUCAUUCUAAGUUCUAACGGCCAUAUAUAUAUAUAUAUAUAUAUAUAUACUGAUUUCAUGAUUAUUAACAUUAGAUGGAAUUUGAGAUGCAUGCAUGCCAUUCAUGACAAUAACACAAAUGAUUUUAAUUCAUGUGUCAUCGAAGUAGGCAUCAUUACAUGCAGGUUGAAGACAAAAUAUUGUCUCAUGAGAUUGCAAGCAAGAAAAAUAAGAUUUUAUUAGUUUUCAUAAAUUUCCAUUUAAGGGGAAUUAUCGACUUUCAAGAAACAUCUAUGUUGGUUUUAGUUUAAAAAUAAAAAUAAAGCAGUACUGUUGAAAGUGUUAUUUUGUGAAGCUUUGAUACUUUUAGCUAAGCUUGUUGUAUCAAUCAUGGUUUGGCAUCCAUGUGUAAUAUGAUCCCUAUGUUUCGGAUAUGAAAAGCCAUGGAAUUUGACAGUUAAGUUUGUAAAUAAUGGCUUUGUAUUUUUAGUUCUUUCAAAUUAUAUAUAUAUAUAUGGAUCUAAUUAACGUGAUUUCAACAUGCAUGUGAGAUUAUAAAUAUUAUAUAUAUAAUUAAGGUGCCCUUUACUUGCAAGGUUUGACUUGACAAACUAAAAGCUGAUAAUUUCUCCACAAACAUAGAAGGGGAAAUGGAGAAAACCGUGUCUUCGUUUUUCCAAAUUACAUGCUCAAAGGUUAGAUGACAUGAGCUCCUCUAGCUAGAUGUCGAGUAGAAUUAAUUUGGAUCAUCUACUGUCAAAAGACUAGGACUUGCAAUGAUAAGAGAAAGAUGAGAAAGAUAAAUACAUAGAGUAGAUCCUAUAGCAUUUACAUUUUCUGUUAUCUAUCUCUCUCCAAGAUUCUCUGUCCAUGUGAUCUACCAAAGAAAUUCUUUACUUGAUACUUUGCUAGGUGGCUGGUGGCAGAUGUAUGCAUGGUUGGUCCACCUGCUAAUAUGUCACAUGUUUAUUUUUUUCUUUUUGCAUUGCAUAGGAGUUCUUGGUGCCACUUCUUUUACUUUAUAAAACCAGCCCUAUGAACUUUAUAUUUUUUUCAAGAAAAUUCAUUGAAGUAUAUGAGUUCCAUGCCUUGGUCAUAGAUACACUUUGUUGUGUAUGUCUAGUGCCACAAAGACGUCUAAAAUUUUUCUAAGCUUUAGUUAAUUUUUAUCACUGAGUAUGGUUUAUUUUGAGAAGCAAGUGAAGUUCAAUAUAAACUUUUUUCCAAUGAAUGAGAAGCAGUAUAUGUUUAGUACAUUAUUUAUUCUAAUUAUUUCUUUCAAGUAGAUUGCAAAUACUACAUUUUGCCAAAUUAUUGAUGCACCCUAUAUUCUGCCUAACUCAUGAGUUUGUCUUGCUAGUGUUUUUCUGGUCUGGUCACCAUGCUUGUGCAUACCCUGUUUCUCUCUCUCACUUUACAAUUUGGCUCUUCUUGGAUUUUUCUACCAUCUCUAGCUCUUUUCUGACAUUUUCCUGCAUCUUUUCGUCAUUUUGGUAGAUAAGUGUAUGACCAUUUAACCAGCCAGCCGACCUAUAAAUGUGGAAAUUUACUUAAUUUUCAUUUCAAUUGAUCUGCCAUGUUGUAACUCACAAGUUCCAUCAUAUCUGUCCUCUGUUUUUUGGUUUAUUAAUGUUAAUGUGAUGCAUGGUGGAACUUAAGGGACCAUUGCAGCGAUCAAUCUCAAUAAAUGGAAUAUGGUUUGCAAUGUUUGCAUAAGUUGUUCUGCUAGCAUACAAUAAACUGUUUUUUCACAUCUAAUUCUAAACUCAUCAGUCUUUACCUGACUAGCUGAAUGCCAUAAACAAAAAUAGUUUACUAUUGGAUUUAUAAUAUGAUGCAAAUGAAGUUAUAAGUGAUAUUGUAAUUUUAUUAUAAACAUUGAGAAUUGUGUAUAUUUUCUGAAUCUUGAGAUGUUUGGAUGUUGAGAUGGGAUGAGAUAGAUUAAGACCAUCUCAACAUCCAAACAUCUCACCUCAGCAAGUCUAAUACACCAAAAUUUACAUACAUAUAUAUAUAUAGGAGUACUAUAAUUGCAUGCAUGGAUGAUGAAGUUCAUAUGUAGCAAAUUAAGAAAGGUCGACGGCAAGUGGGGCCAGGCUGCCAGGAUACGAACGAGGUAGAAGCUGGAUUCUGAUCGAGGAUACAUGCUGAAGGUGUGUAGGGGGUGGAAGAAAGAUGAGGACUGAGGAGCACCUCAGCUUAGAGCAGGGUCCCAUUAGAUCACGAGCUUCUUGCAUUCAGUUGUGUAUAUAAGUGAUUAUUAUAGAUGACAGUUGACACAAACACAACUGCAUGGGCAGGACAAAAAGCUUUCACCCACUUAGUCUAUCACGUUAGAUCAUGACACUACCUCCUCAUGCAUGCAUGUUCGGUUCUUUGAUAUCUCUUUCUUGGUCUCUCCCCAGCAAAAAAAGCUAAUUAAUGAUAAUAUAAUAAUGAGGAUAACUCAAUGCACUAUACAUGUUCA